rnacentral:tRNA from 1 species
UGGGUUGUAGCUCAGUGGUAGAGUGCUUGCCUCGAAUGCAUGAGGCACUGGGUUUGAUCCUCAGCACCACUU